rnacentral:snRNA from 13 species
AUGGUUUUUUUGCACCGGGACCAGGGUGAUCACGGACGCCCUGGCCCAGGUGGAGACUUGCCCCUGCACUUUGGUGGAUUGAAGCCUGCAACGAUCCCUAACUGGGCUCGCUCAGGGGUUUAGUUUUUGCCAGUGGAGAUCGGUAAACCAUCCCUAC